AAUGACCUGGAUGAAACAUGUAAAGAGGAUAACCGAAAUCGGAAGAUUGAUGAAUCAAGUAAAGUCAUUGUAAUUUAAGGAAAACAAUUAUUGCGUCUUUCUACGUUUAAGAUGGAAAACUGGUGUAAAUGACAGAGAUUUUUUGACAAAGUGUUAUGGAAGGAUAAUUAUUAGAAAGCUCCAAUUUUUUCUAAUAACAAGUAGGCAAUGUAGAGAUGCAAACUAUUAUUUUUCGCAAUAGGAGGACUUAAAGAUCCUAAGAAAAAGUUUUUUAUGUUUUACUCGUGAACAAGUUAAAGUUGAGUCAUUCCUACCUUCUCAUGAUGGUACGUCCACCAUACUACACCACGAGGUAGCAUUUGAAGGCAUGUGUUACUUGAUGCAAAAAUCGAGAUUUUGAUCAAAAACUAUGGAAUUUGGGAGUGUAUGAGUGAUAAUAACUAAGGAGCAUAAAAUCCUGAAGGAAAUUUCUAUUCAAAUGUUAAAGCAGGAUGUUUAGUGAAAAGGAAAGGUCGGGAAGCAAUGUUUACUUAAGUAGUGUACAUAUAUGAAAUAGAAUCUAUACUUCUGCUUCAGUAAUUUGGAAACAUACUCUGAAAUUCCUAUACUCUCGUUAAAGAAAGGCUUUCAAGAUUCAACGGUACUUAAAAUAGCAAUGGAAAAGAGCGAAAUUUAGUAGCCUGUCCGUGUGUCAAAUCAAGCUACUAGGGCAUGUGCUGCAAGUUACGAUAACGUAAUUAUUUAAUUAGUAAAAGAUAUAAUUGAAUCCAUCGGGUGAAGGAGACUUUUAGAAUGCGGAAAGUGGACGAGAGGAGGCAAUGAAAACACAAAAUACGAAAUACAUCUAUAAAGGGUGCAAGAAGAAGCACUGGCAUUCCUUUCUUUAAAAACUUACGUUACAUUUAUCUUCUCAGUAGAAGGAAGGAAUGUUUGCACAUUGGCGGACUUUAGACUUUGAUAAAUUCUUCGAGAGCUCAGAGUUAAGUU